UUUUCAAAACAGGUUUAAAGUGAGGAUGGACAGAUAUUGAAAUGCCCAACUUAUUGUACCUAGGUACCAAAGGAGAUGAUGGAAAUGUCAAAAGGUUUUUACUCCAUUUCUCAGGACUUUUUUGGCUCCAGUAAUUUCCUGGGAAUCACACUUAGCAGAACCAUGGAUAAUGAAAUGCUAUCUGCUCAUCUCCUUUGCACACUAUGGAUGCAAGUGGAAGGCUUCAUCUAAACGACCUAGGCAAAAGGAUUAAUGCAUUCUAAAAACUGCUUAAGGAAAGCAAAAUGGUCUGAACAUAUCUGGCCCUUGGUAUUGGAUCACAUGGUGUCAGUAAUAAUAUCAGAAUUUCUAUAAGAUUCUAGGUGCCUAUUUUAAAAGCAGUUUAAGGAGAUGUGGUCUAAAAUCCUUCUGUACCCUCUGUACACUUCUUUUGCAAAUUAAAAUUCCUUUCCUAUGUGUUGCUAUCCAAAUAUGCAGCUGUCAUCAUUACAAAAAGCAGUAAUGCAUGCUAUUACUAAAACCUUAAAUUAGUGGAAUUACUCUUUUCCUAUGUAGCAAAUGAUAGUUUGAGAGGGAAUAGCCUCAAGUUGCAGUAGGGUCGGUUUAAAGUGGAUAUUAGGAAAAAUGUCUUAAUUGAAAGGGUUGUCAAGCAUUGGAACAAGCUGCCCAGAGAAGGGGCUGAGUGACCAUCCUUGGAGGUAUUUAAAAGAUGUGUAGAUGAUGUGCACAGGGGACACAGCCCUGACAACAUUAGGUUUACAGUUAGACUUGAUUAUCUUGAAGUGUUUUCCCAGACCGAACGAUUCUAUUAUUUUAUGACUGCCUACAGCAUCCCCAGAUAAUUUCUAAACUCUUUGAGCUCAAUCUAUAAAGAAACAAGUACAGUGAGUACAUGGACAUUUUAAAUUCUGCGUUAUAGCCCAUCUCUGCCUGUUGGGUCUCCUAUUAGCAAUCAACAGAUAUCAGAAUAAAACUACGAAUAUGAAGUUGAGUUAAAUCAGCUUUUUAGAAUAUCCCAUUAAAACACCAAAUAAUAAUUUUCUUUCUUUCCUUAAUAAUCCCUUUUAUGAUAUGGCAUAGAAUUGAAAUCAACAGCUGAUAUCUACAACCUUAACAGGCUUCUAUCUUGUUAAUUCCCUUUGGACAGAGGUAAUCUUUUCUCUGGCAAUGUCUUCUUCCAUGGAACAUCUGGGAAUUACCAUCAAAAUAUUUAUCUGGUUCUUGUUGUCAUUCUUCCGGUAAAGACCUGAAACUCUGGUCAUUUUACAACUGACCAAAAUCUGCAUUUGUUUCAGUGGGCCCUUGUUGAAAUCUGAUUUGAAUCUCUUUCCUUAAAGAGACAACAUACACUUAGCUAACUGCUAUAGUUCACAAAAUUUAAUGUUGCGUGUUUUGUAUCUGAUACACUAGAGGCAACUUUUCAAGUUCCUGCAGCUGCACAGCCUAAAUCUUGGCACAAUCUACUAAUAUAUCUGAGACAGAAAUAUGACCCCAUAAAAGUAGAGUAUUAUGAGCACUAAAGCUCUGCUACGUCUCAGUCAAAAUAUCAAGGUUUUUUACUGUAGUAUUCCACUCAGUAUUCAUGGAAUAGAGUGUGAUUAAAGAACCACUCUUGCUCUUGGUGCGCCGAUUCAAUAAUUAUUGUCUUUGUUUCUUUAAUAUAUGUGCAAUGUCUCAUCCCACACAAAACAUGAUAUCAUAAAGUUAAGAUAAUAGUAGAGUGAGACAUCUUUCACAAUGGCAGUAACAAACUCUGGGUGGUUUUUCAAUGUUUAUGAACAUCAGCACUGUAUUAAUAAACUUAUUUCAACCUUGCAGAAAUUUACACUUCUACACUAAAAAAGAAAAAGUUCCCUUAGAAUGACUAAGGUAGAGCAGGAUAAAGAAAGGUAAAUGUGAUCUUUAAUUACUUUUAUGCAUGCAGACCUCAAGGGAUAGAAGAACAAAAUACCUUCUGCAAUUUUGGAAGACAAAAGGGUGCUUCUAAACAGCUUUAGCACUGUCUGGGCUCCUUCCAGAGCAUCCACAGCUGCUUUGCUUCUCAGGCUCUUCUACUAUUUCAUCUCUUAACUUGCUUUUGUCAUCCACAGUAUGUAUACGCUGCUUGUCCUGGGAGUUUCUAGUACUUACAUUGGACAGCUUACACAGGGCAGACAUCAGGGCUCCUUCCAGUCAGUGGGAUUGUUCUCCCUCUGUGUCACAAAUCCCAGCUGAUGUUUCACCAGAGGGACACUUCUGCCUCCAUCCUGCCUUGGACUAUGUUACAGCCAUGGCAGCAUCCUGAAAUAAUGCUCUGCUGUAGUGAUGGAGAGUGAUGCUAAAAAUAUUUUUAAAGUGAUUAAAAUGUUUUGCUAUUUUAUUUAAUUUUUAAAAGGCUAUUUUAAGAACAUAAAACUUCAGGGCAUUUUAUGAGAAGAAAUACUUUGUUUAACACUACUUCAUAUAAAGGACAUUUAAAAUCUAAUGUUAUUAAUAUCUUCUUGGUUGAAUGCCAGCACAUUUUUGGCUAAAUUGAUUGAUCGCAGUGCAUAAGAAAAAGUACCCUCUCAUUCCUGUGCACUGAGGUUCUGAUCCAGGAAAUCAAACAGAGUAUAAAUGGAUGAUCCCUCCAGCUGCUUACCUUUUCUUUCUUCUUACUCAGUGUGUAGUUUAUGAGUUUGGGAGAUCCCUGCAAUGAUCUGACUCUACUGGGAUCUUUUAUUAAUUGCUGUUUUUAGUACAGACUCUUUUCUACUCCAGAUGUUCAUGAAGUCUAAUGCACAUUAGGAAUAUCUUGUUAAAAUUAAACUAUACUACUCACUACACACAUCAGUUAUUGGUAUGGAAGCUCUACUUUAUCUAAGUACAGAAAAGGUAGGAAAGUCUUUUAUUUUAUUUUUUUCUGUAAAUCCUGUCAGGCUAAGGUUUCAUGAGACACUAUGAAAAAUUUCCCUAACAUAUAUUUGUCACACAUUCUGCAUUUUCUUUCAUUACUAAUUUUAUUUUAUUAAAAAUGCAAUUGACUCUGUCUGGCAAGACUAUUUGUAUUGAUUUACAACUUAUAAUGAAAUACAAAUUAGUGCAGUUUCUGAGUUAAUUGCACCUUUGGCCUUGUUUUUGACUGCAGUAAGGUUUUUCCAAUCAGUCUCAGACACCUGGCCAUCAACCUUCUGGGUCCAGCAUUCUUGCCCUAGACAUCUCUGGUCUCCUCUCUGCAGAUUAGUGACACAAAUGCUAAGUACUUGGGAUCUUUCUAUUCAGUUUGACAACUCAGCAAGUCCAGGAUCAGGUAAAAACCCAGCCUCUCUCUUUCAGGAAAUGACAGCAUAAAGUAAACAUCUCCCAAAUUUUCUGAUUUAGAAAAGAAACAUUACAUAGAAAAAAGAUAUUAAGAGAAUAAACACAUCUGAACAUGUCCUCCUCGCCUGGGAGCUGACAAAAACUAAGAUGCAGAACUUGACAAGGUGAAGGUCAAAUCCAUAAAAGGAUUUAUGUGUCUGGAUCCUCUUCAGUAGACUCCAGUACACAAGGGAGAGAAUCAAAAACCUUGCUUACAGUCACAGAGAAUCAUAAUCCCUCACUGGGAGUCAAAGCCUGGUGCUCUUUCUUGAACAAAAACACAUGGAAAGAUUUGUGUUAGGAGAGAAAGAUUCUCCCAUUACCUCUCCACUUUUAAAACACCUCUCCACGUUUGUAAAACAUCAAGUAGUUAAAAUGAAGGAAGGUGAGGAGUGGGGAUGAUGGUGGAAAGAAGGAAAUAGCAUCUACAGGCUUAAAUCUCUCUUGUAGUCACCAGCUCACUAAUUUUUUCUCUGUUUCUGUUCCACUGAAGCCACAAAAUUGUUGUUAAGAUGUCCUAGGAAGUCCCUAGUCUCUCUAAUGCAUACAAUAUGAUAAAUGCCAUUUAAGACCAUUAUAUUUGCAUCUGUUUAGUCCCUAGCCAAUACAUCCAUCAGUACUUGUAAAGUCCUGUGUCUCCCAAAACUAGGAAAAUCAGGAGUGCGUGUCUGCCAUUUGCUGCAAUUCUGUUUGAAGGCCCAACCUUAUUCUAAAACCCACUCCAAGAGCUUCUACACAUGGCUAUGCUGCUUCACAUUGCUUAUCUCUCAGAAUACCUGUAUCCAAAAAGAAG
rnacentral:lncRNA from 1 species